rnacentral:lncRNA from 1 species
GAGCUGCACAUUUUUACCAAUACAACAUUAUUCCGAAAAUACAGAGAGCUUAAGUAUUUACACUUUACCAUGAGAUACUUAAAGCACAGCUAAACACAAAAAGAUAAGAUUUUUAAGAGAAAGUUUUGACGUUACUUCAUGUGUUUAGUUCCACUGCUUAGUUAUUAUCAAUAUCCUAUCCAUAGGAUUUAUACAUUAUUUAUAACAAAUAAGUCCUUAACUAUCUAUAACCACAACCAAGCGAAAACUCAGACAGCCACUAUAGAAAUUAAAGAGAACAAGAUUCCAAUUUAUUGUUCUACAUAUAACAAGUUCAAAAUUUAAAAUUUCAGAACACACCUAUUAGCAAAAAUAACUGAAAAUAUCAAAUAAAGCUCUGAAAUGGCAAAAGAUAUUUAGCAACAAUAACAACAGCUCCACAAGUCAACCAAAUAAAUCCAAAUCGCAACUGAAAAAAUGGACAGAAAACCAAAACUGCCAAAACUCUGAACCCCAGCGACAAAAACUCUAAAAACCAUACUUAUAUUUUUUUGUAUUUAGAAAAGAUGCUGAAUCCAAAAAAGAAAAGGCCUCAAAAUAAGAAAAACUUCAAACCCUAAAAAUUUUACUGCUAAAUUUUCUAAAGAUUUUCUCAAGAUUUUUUAUUUGAUUUUCCUUCGAUUUUCCUUGACCUCGAAAAGAAAAACUUAACCCAUAGAUAUAACCUUCAAAAAUCUUCAAGUUUCCACCCAAAAAAUCUGAAAAUCUUUACAUUUUUGAACGAUUUCUGGGACAAAUGGAAGGCAUGGAUCGAUUUACAUCUAUGCACUGCUCUCAUUCACUCAGCAAAUCAUUUUAAUCAUGCAAAAGUUGAGCGAAUAUUUGUUCCUUUCUGACAAAACCAUUGGAAUCAAAUGACGUAGAGGGGAUAGGUCCCAUUGAACUCGCCUGAGUCCAUGCGAGUUGAGGGAUGAAUCGGUCAAAGAAGAUGAUGAAUAGUGUAAGGGCGUCAUUUCUGGGUUACUUAGGUUCAGGGUUUGAAAUGGGAGAAUGCUAUAAGAGGGCUUUUAUAUGUGAAGGGGAACUUGGCAGGUCGGUUUGUUUUGUUA